CGAGCGGAAGAUGGGAGCUUGCUCCCUGAUGUUAGCGGCGGACGGGUGAGUAACACGUGGGUAACCUGCCUGUAAGACUGGGAUAACUCCGGGAAACCGGGGCUAAUACCGGAUGCUUGUUUGAACCGCAUGGUUCAAACAUAAAAGGUGGCUUCGGCUACCACUUACAGAUGGACCCGCGGCGCAUUAGCUAGUUGGUGAGGUAAUGGCUCACCAAGGCAACGAUGCGUAGCCGACCUGAGAGGGUGAUCGGCCACACUGGGACUGAGACACGGCCCAGACUCCUACGGGAGGCAGCAGUAGGGAAUCUUCCGCAAUGGACGAAAGUCUGACGGAGCAACGCCGCGUGAGUGAUGAAGGUUUUCGGAUCGUAAAGCUCUGUUGUUAGGGAAGAACAAGUGCCGUUCAAAUAGGGCGGCACCUUGACGGUACCUAACCAGAAAGCCACGGCUAACUACGUGCCAGCAGCCGCGGUAAUACGUAGGUGGCAAGCGUUGUCCGGAAUUAUUGGGCGUAAAGGGCUCGCAGGCGGUUUCUUAAGUCUGAUGUGAAAGCCCCCGGCUCAACCGGGGAGGGUCAUUGGAAACUGGGGAACUUGAGUGCAGAAGAGGAGAGUGGAAUUCCACGUGUAGCGGUGAAAUGCGUAGAGAUGUGGAGGAACACCAGUGGCGAAGGCGACUCUCUGGUCUGUAACUGACGC
rnacentral:rRNA from 1 species